GGCAACCCUAGUAGGGCGUCUCAUCGUGGGACAACCGGGCGGGGGGCUUACACAUAGCGGGUCCAAAGACAAAAACCUAAGGGCCUGCACGCUAAACGGAAGACAGAAA
ncrna:Leisingera aquimarina DSM 24565 L2-Alphaproteobacteria ribosomal protein leader